UAGAAAAUUCAGCCAAUAGGAUUUAAGAAAUCAUCCACGUCAUCUUUAUUAAAGAAAAAAAAAACAGAAAGGACCCGACGACGGAAGUCACGAAGAUCUUCCCCUAUACCACUUCGUCUUCUCCGCUUGAAACCAUAACGACUGAAUUUUGUUCUCCUGGACGAGGCUUCCAUGGUUCAGAUCGUCAGAGAUGAAUAAAGGGGAAGUUCUUAGCCUCUAUUUUCCAUGAACCUCGCUGGUCAAUCUGUUUCUCUCACUCUGAUUUGGUUUGUUUUUUGGUACGUGAAGCAUUGUGUGAGCAGAGUUGGUGGUCGUGAGCUUUAACACGGAGGAGGCACGGCGCGAUGGUGAUUGUGCUAGCUGAUGAUGAUGACGAUGUUUGGAUUUAGAUCUAGGUUUAAUUUGUUUCGGUUGAGUGUUUUUCUUUUUGCUUCGGUUUGGUGUCUUUUUUUUUAAUAUGGUUUAUUAAUGUAUUGGCUGUGAUCAUUAGUUGACUAUGUGGAGAACACAAUCUAUGCUUGCAAUGGUUACCAUGUUCCUCGAUGCUGUGAAAUUAGAGUCCCACUGGCCAAUGAUUUAGGGUUUAAGGUAACAAAACAAAGCGUGUGGAGGAAGAGUCUGGCAAGCUGUUUCUGCUAACCGUCACCCUGGUGCCGGGAAUUUCAUGUCGAACCAGCAAAGCCUAGGAGCUCAACUUGCCCAGCUUGGUAGAGAUGCUUCAGCUGCUGGAGCUGCUCGCCGUUUUACCACACAGAAGAAGAGUAUUGUAGAGAUUGAAUCGGUUGGUGUUGCUGGUAAAACUGAGAGCCGUGUUAAGAAACACUUCCGCCUAGAGUUUGUAAAUGCUCCAUGUAUAAAUAAAUAGUGAAAGUCGGACUUGAAGGACGUUUUGGCGACUUCUCAUACAACCACGGCAGAUGAAGUUGAUGAGGAAGAAAAAUGUCCUUUGACGUUGAUGAGAAAGAAAAAUGUUUGCGAUUUACCAAUGAUCUUGACGUUGAUGAGGAAGAAAAAAUUUUCCGUUACAGAUAGCAGCUCUGUUUUCAAAUGAAGUGAUGUUAUGAGUGCCUUGUAGCAACGUUUUUUUUGAGCCUUCCAGAGCUGUAGUUUCUCAAACAGAGCAGGAGAGAGGACCAAGUUCUCGGAGAAUUGAAGUUGCAUUUGGUAGCCACAUGUUUCCAGAUCGGCCACAGAAUGAGCACUCAAAGAAACAGUGAGCGAUGGAUUCUGGAGCAGCAUUACAGAGCAAACAGUUAGGGUCAGUUUGCAAUCCCCAACUCAGAAUUCUAUCUCUUGCCGUGUCUUAAUUACUAAGCGAUUCAGAAUCUAACUUUGGUCUGAUUUUGUCAUUUAGUUGCCGUGUCUAUCGUAUGUUGCUGCAAAGCUUAAGACAUGAACGAGGUUUAGUGCAUUUGGUUUAGUUUACAAAUUGUCUUUGAACUCCAGCAACUUUGUCUUUUAUUUGCUACAAGGUUAAGAUUUUAUUUUCAUGA